UCAUGUCAAAAGUUAUUGCAUCAAAGUAAAAAAAGAUGGCGCCAUUUCGAAACGAGCGUUGAUCUAGUCGUAUUGUUGAGUUCACUUCUCUUAUUUUAACACUAGAAAUUGGGUUGACAUUAAAAUCACACUGCUUGAUAAUGUCGAACUUAUCGAGAUUGAGUUCAUUACUGGUUGGCCUUGGUUGUGGUGGGGUUCUUGGAUUAUAUUUGGCACAGAAUUAUAAUAUUCCGGAUGUACGUGGGUUAGCAAAUAAACUUUUCGAGAAGACAAGUGAAUACAAGAAAGAUGAUACAAAGUGAAUGAUGGCGCAUCUUAAAUCAAAAUGGAAUGGAUUCUUAGUAUGUAAGUUAGUUAUAGUACAUUACAUUAUAGUUGGGUACAUUACAUUACACUUGAGCCAGACUGGAAGGUUUGAAAACCUGCGCACCUGAGAUCAAAUUUUAUAGAAAUUUUUGCA